UAUCCGUUGGUGAACCAGCGGAGGGAUCAUUACAGGACUCGCAAGACUCCUACAACCCUGUGAACUUAACUAUAAGCACGUUGCUUCGGCGGGUGUCUCGGAGAGGGUUCUCCCUCCCCGGGGCGCUAAGCCCGCCGGCAGCCUACUAUACUCUGUCUCUUUGCGUUGGCAUCUCGAGUACAAACAAACAAGUUAAAACUUUCAACAACGGAUCUCUUGGUUCUG
rnacentral:misc_RNA from 1 species